UCUAAUUAAUUUUAUGACUCCUAAUUGGAUUAGGAUUGAAGAGUUCAAUAGAGUCAUGGUUCAAUUAAAUCCUAAUUAGAUUAGGAUUUGGAGGAAAUUAAAAUGGGUGCAUAUAAAUCCUAUUUUGACUAGGAUUGGACUCAUGCAAUAGACCCAAAUUAAAAAUACCCUUUAAUUUAUUUAAAUGGUAGAUUUAAAUAGAUUUGAGGGAGGGGCCCACGCCCCUCCCUUUGGGGUGUGCGUGGAGAAAGAAGGAGGGGCAUACGCCCCUCCUAGCUAUUCAAAUAAUGGGAUAAGGAUGAGUUCCUAAAAAAUAGGAACUCAUCUUUAUCCAUUAGUGCUUCAAAAAGAGGAGGGAUUUCGGCCCCUCCUCUCAUGCUUUCUCUAGGCAUUUUGGUAGCACCCCUCCUCCCCUCAUUCCUCCUUCCAGCCGCAAGAGAAAAGGGAGAAAAAGAAAGGGUGGGGUGGCCUUCUUCUUCCUCUUCCUUGGGUCCAGCGUAGGAGAAAAAGAAAAGGCUGCGAAGAGCCUUUGUUUCUUCUUCCUUGGCAUUUCCUUCUUCUUCCUCCUCUCAAGCCAAUCAAAGGUUGAUUCAAAGGAGAGGACCUCAGCCAUCUAAAGCCAUCUCUUCAAGGGAGCUAGCACCUCGGGAAGAUCCAAAGGCUUCAAUCGACUCACUACCUCGUGUGGAUAUCCGUAGAGGCCGAACACGUGUGCGGCUUCCAUCUACCUGCACAAGGUGAAGAUCUGAUCUUCUUAAUUAUUUUAAAAUGGUUGAAAAUAAUUUAAUUCUAAUCUAUCUACAAACGAAAGCUUUUAAAAUACGUUCAUGCGAUGAACGGAUCCCGCAUAUGUUUUCCGCUGCAAUCUGAAAAUUAUUUCAAAAUUUUCAUGGCAUAUGAGGGAUGCCAUUGAAAGGAGUCCGGCCUCGAUGACUUGUCCACGCGAAGCUUCGGAAUGAUCAGCUUUUUAGGGAGUGCUAGCUCGCAGAGAGACAGAAGGUUGGCUGAACGAGAGAAGAAGGAAGAAGAUGGGCCUUCAUAGCUCAAGAACUCCUUCUUGGGCUUUCACCUUCAGAGCUAUUCUUUCUUCUCACUCUCUUUCUC
rnacentral:lncRNA from 1 species